rfam:Selaginella moellendorffii unplaced genomic scaffold SELMOscaffold_62, whole genome shotgun sequence.
GCUCCAGUAGCUCAGCUGGUUAGAGCACCCGUUUAGUAAGCGGGAGGUCUUGAGUUCGACUCUCAACUAGAGCA